GACGAACGCUGGCGGCGUGCUUAACACAUGCAAGUCGAACGGACAGGCGCUGCUCUUGCGGGGUGCUCGAGUGGCGAACGGGUGAGUAACACGUGAGUAACCUGCCCUUGACUUUGGGAUAACUUCAGGAAACUGGGGCUAAUACCGGAUAGGAGCUCCUGCUGCAUGGUGGGGGUUGGAAAGUUUCGGCGGUUGGGGAUGGACUCGCGGCUUAUCAGCUUGUUGGUGGGGUAGUGGCUUACCAAGGCUUUGACGGGUAGCCGGCCUGAGAGGGUGACCGGGCACAAUGGGACUGAGGGACGGACCAGUCGCCUACGGGAGGCAACAGGGGAGAAUAUGACAGAAUGAGGGGGAGCCAGAGACGGCGGUGUCGCGUGCGUAAUGACGGCCUACGGGUUAUGAACCGCUUUCGCAGGUGACAAAGCGUGAGUGACGGUAAUUGAUAAAGAAGCACCGGCUAACUACGUG
rnacentral:rRNA from 1 species